rnacentral:rRNA from 1 species
GAUGAACGCUAGCGGGAGGCUUAACACAUGCAAGUCGAGGGGCAUCACAUGAGGCAGCAAUGCCGAUGGUGGCGACCGGCGCACGGGUGAGUAACACGUAUGCAACCUGCCUUCAACAAGGGGAUAACCCGUUGAAAGACGGACUAAUACCCUAUAACACAGGGGUCCCGCAUGGGAAUAUUUGUUAAAGGACAACCGGUUGAAGAUGGGCAUGCGUUCCAUUAGCUAGUUGGCGGGGUAACGGCCCACCAAGGCAACGAUGGAUAGGGGAACUGAGAGGUUUAUCCCCCACACUGGUACUGAGACACGGACCAGACUCCUACGGGAGGCAGCAGUGAGGAAUAUUGGUCAAUGGACGCAAGUCUGAACCAGCCACGUCGCGUGAAGGAAGACGGCCCUACGGGUUGUAAACUUCUUUUAUACGGGAAUAAAGUGCCCCACGCGUGGGGUUUUGCAUGUACCGUAUGAAUAAGGAUCGGCUA